UACGUAGGAGACGAGCGUUGUCCGGAGUUACUGGGCGUAAAGGGUGCGCAGGUGGCGGCGCGCGUGGGGGGUGAAAUCGCCCGGCUUAACUGGGCGGGGGCCUUCCAGACGGCGUGGCUUGAGCAGCGGAGGGGGACGUGGAAUUCCGGUGGAGCGGUGAAAUGCGUAGAGAUCGGAAAGAACACCAACGGCGAAAGCACUCUGCUGGGCCGACACUGACACUGAGAGACGAAAGCUAGGGGAGCGAAUGGG
rnacentral:rRNA from 1 species